rnacentral:rRNA from 1 species
ACGUCAAGUUAGUAAGACCCCUUGAAGACGACGAGGUAGAUAGGGCAGAGGUGGAAGUGCGGUAACGCAUGGAGCUGACUGUUACUAAUAGGUCGAGGGUAUAACCAA